CCUGGGCUGCCAUUUCACGAUCAGAAAGGCCACCGCAAAUCUGGAUAAUACGGUCAGACAGCGUCGACUUACCGUGGUCGAUGUGAGCAAUGAUCGAAAAGUUACGUAUGUUCUUCAUAUAGUUAAAUAAUUAUGCCUUACGAAUUCCUGGAGGCCGCUGUACUUAGCCUGACGUAUUUCAGUGCGAAAACGCAGCAUUCUACACUACAUCUUCGUCACCAGGAAAUGCUCUUGAAGCCAGCUUCGGCGCGAAGGGAGCGCCUUUACGAUACAAAGAGGCAGAUAAUGAUUCACCCGGCGUUUUACCGGGCUUCAGAUGAGAGUGAUUCCACGCGGAGCUGAUCGGGGGCAAGCGCUACGUUCAGGAUAACCGGCUGCCAGGCUUCGCGAGCGGCAAGGCGCCGGGAGUAGCCGCGCGCCAGCAGGAAACCGCCAACGCCGCCUAACGCCGCGCCGCACAUUGCGGCCAGAUCGGUGCCAAAUAGCAUCUGGAAAAGACCGCCGAGCACGAAUAGCCCCGCCAGAGGAGUGAGAUAAACCAGCAUGGCGGAACCCAGCAGGCUGCCUUCAGCAAUCCCCAGUUCAACUUUUUGCCCUGCCACCAGCGGCUGCUCGCUGGGCACCUGGAGGGUGUGCGUGGUUUGCGGCCCGAGCUUGUUCAGAACGCGGCUGCCGCAGCCCGCGCGGGACGCGCAGCUGCCGCAUGCGGCUUUUACGUCGCAGCUGACCAGCGCUACGCCGUUUUGCCACGAGACAACCGUAGCCCAUUCUUUAAUCAUUGUGCGGCCCUGAAUUUAAUGCUGUCGGCAAUGCG
rnacentral:ncRNA from 1 species